GAUUUUAUGGUUAAUUAACCAUAAGCGCAUGCGUAGUAUGUACAGUAAGGUUUUUGUUAUCUUUUUAUUUAAUUAAAUAAAUGGAUAAAAAACUUUUCUGUACAUACUACGCAUGCCUCAAGACUGUCAAGCAUGGCGUACAUACUGCACAUCAAAGAUCAGCCUGGGGAUUACAUAUGCAAAUGUUGGAUCCAUCUCUUUUCACAAAUGUAAUUUUGACAUUGUUAGAAAAAGAGGUCUGUAGUAUCUAUCUAUCUCUCCAGGUUCAUAAUACGGCCUCUCAAUUGUGUUGAAAAUGGCAGUCAUAUGUGCGUUCAAAAUUUAAAUCACUGUCAAACUUGUAUCUGGUGUUUGCCCUGUCCUCUGACGGGCUGGAAUUGUGUUGAAAAUGGCAGCCAUAUGUGCGCAUGAAAUUCAAAUCACUGUCAAAAUAAUUUUAAAUAUUUAAUUAAUAAAAUUGAAAUGAAAUAAUAAAAAAAAAAUGUUUUAGAAAUACAAAUGAGUACAAAAUUAUACAAAUGAGUACUUUCAGAGUACAGGAUUUGAAAAAAGUAAGGUUUGUGAAAAAAGAGUAAAAAAACUCAGUAAAUGAGAAUAGCAGGUCACCUUAAUUAACUACAUAAUCUUUUGGUAGAUUUCAAAGUUCUUGCAAAAGAUGGUUUUAUCUAUGAAAAUAUUGAGUUUAAAAUCAAUCUUGCUGUUAUCAUAUGUGAUGCACCAGCUAGAGCAUUUGUAAAGUGUAUUUAAGGACACAAUGGUUAUAACUGAUGUGAAUGUUGAGCUUAGAAAGAGUGGUGUGGCAAGAUAAUUCUCCUACAUAUUUCACUAAUUUUAAGUACUUGUUCAGAUUUUUUGUCAUUAAAAGCAUUCUGAACAUCUUAAUGGUGUGUUAAAUUGAAUUAAAUUUUGACAUAGUGACAAAGUUUCCUUCAGACUUAAUGCAUCUAGUAUGCUUAGGGGUAAUGCGAAGAUUUCUCAACUUAUGGUUAAAUUGCCCAAAUGUUGUAAAUUGUCUCAGAUUACAGUCAAUACUUUAUCUGGCGGAUUGUUCCAGAUACGUCAUUACAUUCCAAGAAAUUUUUAUAGAAAAUCAAGGUCUUAAUUAGAUAUUAAAAAAUGGAAAACAACUGAGCUUAGACUAUUUAUAGUAAACACUUGACCAGUUGUUUAAAGGGAAUGGUUUAGCCAAAAAUGCAUUCAAUUUUUUAGAUUUUUCAGUUGUAGUUCUACUUUCAUGUUUCAUUUUGUUGAAAAAAUAUGUUAAUUUUGCUUUUCAGCUACUUAUUUUUAUAUGUGAACUUUAUCAUAAGGAUCAACUAGUGUACAAUGUCCAUUCAUUAGCACAUAUAGGAAAUAAUACAGUUAAAUUUUAGGUAUUUAAUAGAUGUCCCUCUUUCAAGUACAAAACUUUUACAGGUCAAUUAAAAAAUGUUUGUCUAGAGGGCUCAUUUGCAAAUUUAGAGGCCCUACAAAAAAUACAUAAUAUAUAUAAUAAAUUCUUACAAAUGUAAGAAUUUUUUUUUUUUAGGAUUUUUAUUUAGAUUUUUAUUUAGUUUUUAGGAAUUUUGGGGCCCUUAUGACAGGUUUUUUUUGGAAUGGGGGCUUGUAUCUAGUAGCCAUGGCACUGUAUAUAAGGUAUAUACAAUAUAUAUCAAAUUAUAUACAAUAUAAAUAAAAAAAUAUAUUUAUUUAAUAAUUUUAUAUAAUUUAUUUAUGAGUAACUAAAGGAAUGUUAUCAAUUUAUUAUAUGAAUCAUAAGCAUGUGCUUAUCUAUUUACAAGUACCUUUGAUGGUGAAAAUUACAUUUUUUAUCUGAAGAGAGUUGGGAGAAAUUUUCAUAUUGAAACGAGAUAUUGUGUAAAGAGGUUUUCAAAGAAGUCGUUUUAACAACAAUGGAAAAGCUUCCAAUUCCCGAGAUAAACGUAAAAGCAUUUGAUACAUGACUAAAGAAUCGUUCAAAAGUUUGCUUAAUUUUGACAGUGUAAUUUUAAUUACUAUUUUUUUUUGAAAUAAACCAAUCAAUUUAUAUA
rnacentral:lncRNA from 1 species